CCGAUUGCUGCCAUACACUACAAUGAAAAUGGAGUUCGCCAACAAGCACAUGGGAUCAGCCGGGAAACGAGGGGCUGUGUGAUCUAGGAAGGGACGACGCACAGAGGCCACCCUUUCUACUGUGAUGAGCCAUCCUACGGCACACACUCAGUGAUGCAAGUCGUCCAUUCAGCAACACACCUAGUGGCCCUUGUUAUCUGCUUGGCAACACGGCAGCCAGCACAUACUUAGUGACCGAAGUUGACUUUCCUCCCAUGCAUGGUCAGGAACGAACGAAUUGCAAAUUGAAGGCUAUGUUUGCUUUCUUCUCGAGGAAACACUCUUUGAGUACGACUGCUACAAGGAAGCAUCAGGAGCUACCGGAGGCAUUCAAUAUGCUCCACCAAGCACUGCUAGUAGACUAUUUAGUUGGUUUGUGCGUGUGAUGGUUGGUUUUGAUUAUAUAUACAUGUUUUGUUAACAA